CUUAUGUGGAACAGAUAAUGAAGGUUUAUUUCACUUUUAUUUUUUAAGAUAAAAUUACUACUGGAAAAAGAAAACAUGAAGAUGAUGAGCCAGUAUUUGAACAAAUUGAAAACACAGCCAAUCCUUCCAGAUGUCCUGUGAAAAUGUUUGAAUGCUACUUGUCUAAAAGUCCACAGAAUCUUAAUCAGAGGAUGGAUGUUUUUUAUUUGCAACCAGAAUGUUCUAGUUCUACAGAUAGCCCUGUCUGGUAUACGUCUACUUCACUGGACCGAAACACCUUGGAAAAUAUGCUUGUACGGGUUCUUCUAGUAAAAGAUAUUUAUGAUAAAGACAAUUAUGAACUGGAUGAAGACACAGAC
rnacentral:sRNA from 1 species